rnacentral:rRNA from 1 species
UGGGGAAUUUUGGACAAUGGGGGCAACCGUGAUCCAGCAAUGCCGCGUGUGUGAAGAAGGCCUUCGGGUUGUAAAGCACUUUUGUCCGGAAAGAAAACGUCGUGGUUAAUACCCGUGGCGGCUGACGGUACCGGAAGAAUAAGCACCGGCUAACUACGUGCCAGCAGCCGCGGUAAUACGUAGGGUGCAAGCGUUAAUCGGAAUUACUGGGCGUAAAGCGUGCGCAGGCGGUCCGCUAAGACAGAUGUGAAAUCCCCGGGCUUAACCUGGGAACUGCAUUUGUGACUGGCGGGCUAGAGUAUGGCAGAGGGGGGUAGAAUUCCACGUGUAGCAGUGAAAUGCGUAGAGAUGUGGAGGAAUACCGAUGGCGAAGGCAGCCCCCUGGGCCAAUACUGACGCUCAUGCACGAAAGCGUGGGGGAGCAAACAGGAUUAGAUACCCUGGUAGUCCACGCCCUAAACGAUGUCAACUAGUUGUCGGGUCUUCAUUGACUUGGUAACGUAGCUAACGCGUGAAGUUGACCGCCU